AGAGAGAGAGAGAGAGAGAGAGAGAGAGAGUAAUACUGACAAUGAGACUUGAGGUGUGCGAGGAUUGCAUGCCUCAUGCAGGUGCAGUGCGAAUCGCACUUUCGAUAAAUUUGUAUAAAACUUGGAUAAAGCGUGUGAUAUCAAGAAAAUGAUGUCGAUACCAUAUUCAAGGCUGCGAUGAUAAAUUCAACGGAGAUUACAUUGAUCAAAAGGUAGGAUCGGCAUAUCGCGAUGCACAGAUGUGCGAUGAAGGACAUGUAAAGAGUGCUUAUAUUUCUUGGAACUGAUGGCAUGUCGACAGAUAUCGAUCAAAUAAAAUUUUCAUUUUGUACGUAUAAAUUAAUGAUACAUGUACAUAAAUGGUAAAUAAAAGUAUUGAAAAUAAAAAAGAAUAUUCAUUUGUGCUUUUAACGUUUCUACAUUUUACUAAUACAUUUUACAUAGUAUUAAUUAGCAGAUAUUAUGUUUCAAUCAAAUUAUAUGUAGAAAUUCAAAUCGCAUAAAUCUCUUGAAUGUGUACACAUGUAACUGAUGGAGGAUUAAAGAGCACGUGUCGAGAGAUUAACCAGGACGGCUUGCAAUAUCUUUUCGCGCGGGUAAUUAUCAAUAGGACUGGAGAUAAAUUUGCCGAGUGUUCACAAUUAAUCACUAAUAACCGUUUCCUCCCGGAAACCCGACGUCUUUUUACACCCGCGGCAGUCGCGUGUACACGUAAGCGUCACAAAGGUCACCACGAGGGGGAUAGGCGCAUUCGCGGUGUCCAGAGGAAUAUACAUGUUCAGCUACUAUCGCGCUUUCUAUCGUUAAUCAUGCUGGCAAAUUAAACGGAAACGAUCCAUCUACGACGUACCUACAAACGUCGGCGCAGCUUGAAAGACGAAACGCGAAGCCGCCCGCGUGUCGGCCGCGGCGCGAUGAGGGCUUUAUCCAUGGCAACAAAUCGGGGUUACAUGUCACGUUCUAUAAUCCCGCGUUUUUAAUAUGACUGGCGACCAACCGAAAUCUCCUGGAACGACAAUCUGGACAUCUCACUCUAAUCCGACGCGGUCCGCCGACUUCCGGCGGACCACCCGCUCGAGGAGCGGCAGAACGACAUCGCGCUUCGGUAUCUUCGGGACCGCUACCUGAAGAACAGCUCGAUGACUAAUGGAUCCAGUCGGCGAGGAGCGUGCGAGCCUGUGUCAUAGAAGAUACUCGAGCGGCGAACGGCUCUCGGUUCUCGAAUUCAUUGAGUGGUCCGUGUGGCAUUUACUCGCGGCGACCUUUGCGAUGUUCAUUUUCAAAUAUUAAUGGACGCGUUCGUCGAUGUUCGCGCGCGCGCGCUUGCAAAUGUUGGUUUGUGCUUCUGCAGGUUUUGUUUCGUGAGAUUCCGACUGGAUUCAUCCCGGAUGAGGGAUCGCGAUCCUCAAUUCGCGCGGCGGGCGCAUUCGUAUCCUGCUAACUCUAUUACGUCUCCGCGCGUCGCUCAAACGCGGUUGCCUUCAAAUGCGACUGCACUCAAUUGUGCGAUAAUUACGCAGUGUAUCAGGCGGGAAUAUUAAUCGGAUUGUACAUGAUAAGCACGAGUAUCCGUCGUACAGAUCUGCAAUCUGGUAUUAAUGCUGUAGGUAGUGUCCGCACGUGACAGUAUGCAUACGCAAACGGAAUUCCUCUUCCUUCUGUUCCUCUCAAUCGUCCGAGAGAAUUCGCGCAAAGAGAUUAUUAAGCAGAUAGCACACACAUCCGAAAUUCCGGUGAAUGAUAAAAAUUUGCAACAAUUGGCGCUUCUUGCUCGAUUUCUUUGUCACAUUUCCCGCGAACCUUUUCGGGAAGUCGCGAUGCCGCAAACAACGAAGCACGACGAGCUCUCCGCGCGCAGUGAGCACGAUAAUCGCCGCUGCGAUCGCUACGGACGCCAACAAGAAGUCGAGGACCGCGAUUCCAGUUCUUCGUGCACUUCUGGAAGUGGAGGAUAGAGAGAAAGGAGCGAGAGAGGAGAAAAGAGGAGAGAGAGAGAGAGAGAGAGAGAGGAGGUCGACCUCCUCGUGGAUAACCCUCUCGCACCGGUAACGAGGCGAGAGUGAAGACUAGUUCCUCUGUCCUCUGUCGCGGAAUUAUCCACAGUAUUAUGCAAUUGCCACAAAGGUAAUCUUGUCACUGCUAUUUUUGCUUUAGCGUCGCCGAUGUCCUUUAGAGUUAACGGCGAGAAUAGAGCGGCGCCGUCUAUGAUGCUAUGAAUCCUCGUUUACUACUAUCUCGAAUAAUCUCGAAGACCUUCGAGCAGUCAAUCUUUUACUCCCUAUAAUUAAUAGAUGCGCGUUGAAAUCUUUAUAAUGCGUAAUCGUUGCAUGAUGCAAUAUGAGAAAGAAACAGCAGCGCACAAAAGUUCAAGAACAAAACCCUUGACAUACGCGAUUGGCGCCGACGCGAGGACAUGGAUGAAAGAGUCAAGAGAACACAGGAAUACAAAUACGGGUCAGCUUUUGGACCCGAAAAGACAAGAGUGUUUCUUAACGUAUUUUCGCGCGCUGAAUUCAAAUCCGUUAUGUGUUUUUCGCUGGGUCGUCAGAUUUUUGAGAUUUAACCAAACUGUUUUCCAAGAUUUCUUACGCCAAAAUAAAAGAAGGGAUUUUUGUAGGACCUGAUAUAAGAAAAUUGAUGGAUGACGACAAGUUUACGCAAUGUUUAUCGGCCGCAGAAGCUGCAGCAUGGGCAUCAUUUAAGAGCGUCGUUCGUAAUUUCCUCGGCGAUACGAGUGACGAGCAGGGCGAACGGCUUCAUCAAGAUUUGCAGAGAAUCGAGAAGAACUACCAAGGUUUUUGGGACGAGGGCAUGAUGAGCGAUUAUUGUUGGACUCUGUUACGUAAAAUAGAGCCAGAACAAUACAAACGACGUUGUUACACCGCACUACACUUCUAAAUUUUGAUUUUUUAGUAAAUAAAAUGGUCAUUUAUGGUCGAAAAUAGCAAAAACAGCCAUUUCAUUUACCUCAAAAACCUGACGACCUAGGAAAAAACGGACUGCGGAUUCGGAAUCAGCGUUGAAAAUUAUCUUAGAAACACCUUUUGGUUGCUCAGGUCCAAAACCGUGUAUUCCUGUGGAAUCAAUGCGCAAUAUCUUUUCAGCUAUCGCCCCACUUUAUACAAAACUAUCGUAUAAAAUAAAACCCACAUCAACUGCGAGACGCAGAUUCGUCCUGGGCUCACAAUCCCAAAGAUGCUGCAGUUCAGCCAGUAUAUGUCCAGAUCACGAGAUACCAGGUUUCACGGAGUAGGUACGUGUUUUUUCCAGGAACUCUCAAGUCGCUCCUCAAGGAGCGCAGGAAAAGAUGAAGCAAGGGAGAACGGGCUAGAAAGAGAGUGCAUAGAGGAGAAUGUGAGGAUGAGGAUAAGAGGAGAAGAAAAGAGAGGAUGCUGGAUGUGCACCGACGUGUCCUCGAGGCAUCGGGUCGCGUGGCCUUCGACGUGCACGGAAUAGACGUCCCGCGAGAUUCGAGGCGACUCGGGGAGGAACGGUGAGACGGGAAAAAAGGGACUUUCUACGGACACGGUGGAGGCUGCUGCUGUCUCCUCGCCGUAGGACAGCGCCGAUGUGGGAAACGGGGGAUCGAAGAAAAUCACCAGUUUGUCGAUCGCAAUUAAACCCCUCCGCUCGAGGAAGACCCUUGUCAGUGCGCGCCACGAUUUCGCCGAAAGGAACGCAACCGUAAAUACCAUUGCGCCCGACGAUGCCGGCGAAUACUUUGUAUCCGGGAAUGGAAAUCGCUAUAAUCUCGCUGAGUUGAGAUUUUGAUGCUAAAGGUGAAAUGUAAGCGCACGUAUACGCUGCUAUUUUACUUUCAAUAAGCCGCCGCGACAAUUCGCAGGGGAAACGUUGAAGCGCAAAACAUGCUUGACUGUUUGCCUCGAAACAGUCGAUGCUGAAAAUAAUAUUUAGCAAUAUGAAUACAGUAGCUGUCGCACGGACGCUCGCGGUACUGCAAGCUAUCAAUUAUCUUCAAACAACUGACAGUUUUUUUCUCUGUACAAACACGAUUUUACAAUACAACUUAUAAUAGAAUCCCAAAGCUCUUCUGUUUUGUUGUGCCAUCCAAGACGACUUAAUCCUUCAAUACGAUCUCGAAAACGACGCGCAAGCUGCUCGAGAUAUCGAUAAGCCGCGCACUUUCGUAAUUAUCUCUCGCAGGACGCGCGAUCCUACGGAAACACGGCAAGAAACGCUGACGCAACGCUACCGAUACUUUCUAGCAACUGAGCAUCGGGCAAGGAUCAUGCAAUAUGCAUGGAGCGAUCCCUCCAUGUCUGAAGCCGAGACGCCGCGAUGAUCGCAGUAAUGAACCGUAGAAAUGCGGGCCCGUUUUUGCGCGGGCCGCGACGAGUCACGCGCCGAGAGGAUCUCGGCUGUUUUUGUCGGUUGCGAGGAGUGCCGGCCCAUCGUCGUCGCUCCUUUACAAAUUGAUUCUGUCGCGGCAUCCGGACCGGGAUCCAGUGCGGGCGCAUUGCAGGCGCCGACCCGUUGGACCGAGCGCCGGUCACCGCGCGGAAACGUCGGCGUUUUAAUGCCGAGAUCAUUCCUGCCGCGACGUGCUCCAUUAACUUCUUCUCCUUCUCCUCUUUACUUCCGCUCGCAAUGGGACCGACGUGUUGUUUAUUGAUCGCGAUCCGAUGACGCGAUCGAUCAUCCGCAAUGUCAGCAACAGAUUAUUACGGCGCCGCACGCGAAACGCGUCGCGAUUUGAUUAUCUGAGUCAUCCACGCGAUCAGCUGACAGCGGCGUUCAGAUAAAACUCCGUGGUACGUGUCGGACCAGCUUCGAGGAGUCUGAGUGAUGACGAUGAAGAGCUUACGAUAAUCGGUCUGCGUGUAAUGUAACAAAUUCGCGUUUACCAUAGUACAACGUUCGGAGAACCCGCCGCACCAAGAACACGGAUUUAUAUCGCUAAUUCUCCUCGCGAGAGGUGUGAUCGCCGCACGGAACGAGUCCGUUGCACUUUCACGACUGUGUUCCUGAAUUACGGGAUCUCACGUGGGCGGCGACACUUUUCCGUUGCCGGUCCGCGAAAUAUACGCUCGUUCCUUGGCAUAAGCCUAAUCACGCGCUUUAGCGGAGAACUUGUCUCCCGAGGCCGGCACUUUCGCGACGUGGUGCCAUUUCGCGUUAACGGAACAGCUGGGUGCAAAUAUAUAUUUGCAUACGCGGAGCCAGGAGUGUCAUAAGAUAUUAGGACGGCCAGAGCUGACAAGAUUCGUUGCCAGGCAUUCUGUGUCAUCCAGGACGAGUGGGGUGCAGCAGGCGUACGUACGAAGAAUACAUUAAUAAUGCGCGAAUCAUGCCACACAUGCAAGUUGCCAUAAAAUCUAGGAGCUGGCAAGUAUUAAACCCAGGAGUCAGAGGUGCCGUUAUUUUUCCGUUGGGGUUUCUUGCAACCGCACUUUCUCCGGAAACGAUAAAUUGUGUCUAAUUAAAGUUUAUUAAAAGUAUUAGAAGAAAUCAUCGUCACAGACUUUGAUACUCAUUAGCGGAAUAAUAUAGCUUGUGAUAAAACCGACUCGAGGCGCGAGCCUCGGAAAAUUUAUGCAAAACGAUACUUUACUGUACUCAACUUUAAUCUUGGGCAAUUUGUCUCUUUCUAGUUGUUCGACGAGAUAAAUAGUUGUAUGACUACAGUCACUGAGACUGAAUAAACAUCGAUAAGAUCAUCAUAAAAACUCGGAAAAAUUCGCGUCCAUAAAUAUCGACGCGGACACAUGACACAGCAAUAAACAAUACGCAAUGGCCUUUAAACGCUUGUAAUUUAACAGCAGUUUUCCCCGUUUCUCCGACAAACUAGUAACUCCACUUCGAUCAAUUUCCGAGCUAACGUAGCAGUUUUUCUUUUCUUUUUCUUCUGGACGUGCUUGCAUCGCUUCUCUCACGGGCUACUUUCCGUAGGGAUCGCCAGUGUUCGCGAACUCGCGGCCAGCAUAGUGGCAUAGUGUGUUUAUGAGAGCCGGAACGCUGUCGUGGACACCUCGUGCACGCCGGCGAUCGUUGCGACUCGUUCCGUUCGCUUCCCUCAUUUUCUCGUCGAUAUUCAUUCGCGGACCCCUGCGGCGGCCAAGCUACGUACCGCGAGACAGGCCGCUUUCUCCGAGAUUCCCCUAUCGCAUCUUUAUUGGCCGAUCGAGUCCAAGUGCCGCGCCAGGUGACAUUAAACACGACGCGCCGGAUCGCGCCUUGACUCUCUCGCGCGCUAAGCGGAAUUCUCCAUAGUCUCCGCGACAAUCGAUAACGAGUUGCUCUUAUUGUGCCUAUUAAAGACUGAGGUACAAAGCUCGCACCAUGGCUGUUCCGCGCCUCGCGCUCAGGUUAUCGCCUACUUUCGAUAAAACAGGUGUGAACGUGCGCUAACUUGUCACCGAGUAUUCGAAAUGAUAACGAUUUCAGGAAGCUGUGCAGCUUUAACGCGGAUAAUCAUUUUCUAUCUUGCAUGUCUGGAUGUCAGUUUUUGUAUACCUAUUUCUGAUUUGGUCUGUAGUUUCGUAUGUAUCAUAACGUAUCCUGUCUUAAUCAAUAUAUAAUAUGUAAUAUAAUAUAAUUACGAAAACUACGGAACAUGGCUAUCUCCUCCAAUCGCAACAAGGUGUGUGAAUAGUAACGUGAGAGAUGGAGACCGUCUGUCGUUUCAUACCGCGUGACGAGAAUCGCGUGAAAUUGAUUUGUUCGCGGUUAAUUGUACGAUUACAUUCAAGAUCAAUUUCCACAACGACCUAUUCUUUUCGUUUUCCCACAUAAAUCGAGCCUUCAUUACUUUAAUGAACACAUGGUUAUUGAAUUAUUAAUUUCUUCCCUCUCUUAUGGAGAGAUCUGCACGUAAAGUUAUACUUUACGUUAAAUAUAAGAUUAAAGUCACAAUAAUAGACAUCAAUUUCCCAUCUAAAAUAAAGAGACUGAAAUAUGUAUUUAUAUAAUUAAUUGAUUUCAUUAUUUGUACUCGUAUAUGAUUGGGUCUCGCACAUGGAUGAUUCAAAUGUUAAACAACGUAAUAAAGCUAAUUAACCGCUAACGAAAUGCACCAGAUCCGAUAACGAUUUCCUUUUCCGUUCUGAAUUAUUCUGAUUCGCGAUACGCAAAGAACAAACGGACGCAUAAUUUCUCACCGAGUGAUAAUAUUAAAGUACAAAACUAUUCUGAGUAUACUUAGGCGUCGCAUGAUUUCUACUUCAUCGUUAAUUUUAAUCGUGCGCAAAACAAAAAUAGGAAGUAUGAAAACGCACAAGGUGAGUCCUACUGUUUACACAUCCUCUCAAAACCAAUUUACCGAAUGGCAAUCUUCACCCGCCUAUUUACUGAUCAAUCAACCGCAGAUGUUACGGUGACGCCAAGUGCAACGCUGAACUGCAACACGCUUUCUCACAAACACCUGAGGCGUACGUAUACUCACGCCAAGUAGAAUUCAAUGGAAUUCUCUUGAUUGACGGCUCAUUGAUCUAUACGAAUAUGCUCGUGCAAUUGUUGUCUCAUCAAAUCAUUGCUUAAUUAUGCAGGAGGUUUAAGAUAUUAUGAUCAAAGCGAAUACAUAGUAUCGGUAUAUUGGUAUAGAUAGGUAUUCCAAAUGAUAAAAAAA